rnacentral:rRNA from 1 species
UACGUAGGGGGCGAGCGUUGUCCGGAAUCAUUGGGCGUAAAGCGCGUGUAGGCGGCUCGAUAAGUCCGGUGUGAAACCUUGGGGCUCAACCCCAAGCCUGCACUGGAUACUGUCGAGCUAGAGUCCGGGAGGGGAGAGCGGAAUUCCUAGUGUAGCGGUGAAAUUCGUAGAUAUUAGCUAGAACACCAGUGGCGAAGGCGGCCAACUGGUCCGGUACUGACGCUGAGGUGCGAAAGCGUGGGGAGCAAACAGG